UAAGACUCACAAAUGGUAGUCUGUCAAACCUGGAGGAUUUACAAACAGUUUUUUCAACUUGAGUUGCCCAUGGAGUCCAUGGGGGAUCAUAAAGAGGGGACGGGAUCAUGUAAAAUGUCUCAACCUUGAUGAUAGCUCAGCCAUCACCACCGAUCACAUAAAGUUUAUCUACUCUUGUUAACAGGAUAUGAGGAUGGAAGACAUGUCAGCAUCUCAACUAAAUCAAGACUGGACAUAGACCAAAGCUGGGGUCCUAUCUGGUGUCAAACAGUAAGCCCUCAUGGACGAUAGGGCUUUCUGCUUCAGAUUAAGGAAGAGCAGCUCUGAGAUCCCCAAAGACUUGAAGAUAGGAGUUGUUUGGAGCUCUAUACCUAAUGUUAUUUUGGUCAAUAAAUCUUGAUUACUUUGA